CAUGGAAAUUAUGACUAUUUAUGUUUUCUAAGUUGGUGUUUAGCUUUGCUUGAAGCUUCAAGAAAAGUUAAUUUCAGAGAUCUCUUAAGACAAGGCUUGCAUCUAGAAGGUUUAAUAAGUGGACAUAUAUACUCAAUGCUUACUCAAAUUUGCGUAUAAAAAAGCUUAUGAAUUUUAAGGAGAAAGAUGGCUUUUCAUUUUGAUUGGUGAUGAACUGGACUAAUUAUACCACUCACCAGUGGCAUGGAAUCUUUGAGUUAAGGUGAAAAGGGUUGCAUUGGUGAGCUUCUUUUGUAUUUCUCUUGCCUUUCGAAGGGCACGAGACUGAGGAUGUAUGCUUUUAUAAUGCUUGGCCUACAUGAGAUGGAGUUUCUACUAAUGAACAAUUAGAUGCUUGAAGUGCACACAAGAUUGAG